rnacentral:tRNA from 1 species
UCCCAGGUGACUCAGUGGUAAAGAAUCUGCCUGCAAUGCAGAAGAUGAGGGUUCAGUCAUCCCUGGGUC